UCCGACCUUAGCUCAGUUGGUAGAGCGGAGGACUGUAGUGUGAUAUCAUAGCCAUCCUUAGGUCGCUGGUUCGAAUCCGGCAGGUCGGAUA
rnacentral:tRNA from 1 species